rnacentral:rRNA from 1 species
AGAGUUUGAUCCUGGCUCAGAACGAACGCUGGCGGCAGGCCUAACACAUGCAAGUCGAGCGCCCAGCAAUGGGAGCGGCGGACGGGUGAGUAACGCGUGGGAAUUUUUCCUGGAGUACGGAACAACCGAGGGAAACUUCGGCUAAUACCGUAUGAUGCCGAGAGGCCAAAGAUUUAUCGCUCUGGGGUGAGCCCGCGUCAGAUUAGGUAGUUGGUGGGGUAAUGGCCUACCAAGCCUGCGAUCUGUAGCUGGUCUGAGAGGACGAUCAGCCACACUGGGACUGAGACACGGCCCAGACUCCUACGGGAGGCAGCAGUGGGGAAUCUUGCGCAAUGGGCGAAAGCCUGACGCAGCCAUGCCGCGUGAGUGAAGAAGGUCUUAGGAUUGUAAAGCUCUUUCGCUCGUGACGAUGAUGACGGUAACGAGAGAAGAAGCCCCGGCUAACUUCGUGCCAGNCAGCCGCGGUAAUACGAAGGGGGCUAGCGUUGUUCGGAAUUACUGGGCGUAAAGCGCGCGUACGCGGUUUUGCAAGCCAGAGGUGAAAUGCCUGAGCUCAACUCANGAAUGGCCUUUGGGACUGCGAGGCUUUGAGGACUGGAGAGGUGAGUGGAAUUCCCAGUGUANAGGUGAAAUUCGUAGAUAUUGGGAAGAACACCCGGUGGCGAAGGCGGGCUCACUGGCCAGUUUCUGACGCUGUAGCGCGAAGGCGU